AUGGGGAGGACAUCGCCUUAUGUUGUUUCAUUUCUCGUAAGGUUUAUCUAUGGGGUUAUGCAGAUACUCACCAAAGUUGCUUUAAACCAAGGUACAAGUACAUACGUUCUUGUCUUCUACAGGCAUGUAAUAGCUACAAUGGUGUUACUGCCCAUUGCUUUUGCAACUGAAAGGAAAACCGCCCCACAACUGUCACACAAAGUCUGUCUGAAGCUAUUUGUGCAUGCAUUAUAUGGGGUGUCUGCUUCUCUAAACAUAGCAUCUGUUGGCCUCAAUUAUGCUUCAGCAACUUCCGCUACUGCAGUACAAAAUCUCCAACCAGUGUUAACUUUCUUUUUGGCUCUUCUGUUGGGAAUGGAGUCAUUGAAACUAAAGAGCUUUCAUGGGAUUGUGAAAGUUUCUGGUAUAGUGCUUUGUGCCGUUGGUGUUGCCGUACUAGCGCUAUACCAAGGACCUGAGCUCAAAUCCAUCAUCCACCACCCUCUUUUUCAUCACACAAGGCGAGUUGAUAUUCAUGCCUCAAGGAGCUGGAUAUUGGGAAUUCUCCUGCAGUCUCUUGCGACUCUACUGUUUGCUCUUUGGACAGUGUUUCAGGGCCCUUUGCUGGGGGAGUACCCGUCCAUGCUGCUUAACACGACCCUGCAAAUUGUCUUUGCGACCGUUCAAUCUUUUUUCAUGGCUCUUGUGAUGGAGCGAGAUUUUUCAAGAUGGAAGCUGAGGCUGGAUGUAGGUCUUGUCGCAAUCGUCUAUUGUGGAGUAGUUGUUUCCGCAUUUUCAGGUUACCUGCUGAUCUGGGUGAUUGACAAGUCCGGCCCGGUAUUCCUGGCCAUGACAGUGCCCCUAACUUUUGUUAUCACCAUCGUUCUGUCACUCCUCAUCGGAGAAGCAGUCACCCUUGGAAGUGUAAUAAGUGGCGCGCUGAUGGUUGGUGGCCUGUACAAUGUUCUAUGGGGGAAGAGGAUAGAGCAAGUAGCUCUCAGCAAGCAAGGAGGCAUUGAAGCAAAUGCAGCAAGCUUUGAUUUGGAGGAACAAGAAAGCGGCGCACCAGUUCCAUUAACGCGAGAUUCGGUCAAGCGGUGCGAAGGAGAAGACUGA
rnacentral:rRNA from 1 species